CGCCCAUUCCUUGAGGGUUAGGUCCGACUCGAAAUCCAUUUUCGGUCGGUAACAUCACUCCUCGGCUCGCCGUUGGUUCCUCUCGAGGAUUUCCUGGUGACUCGCCCGGGGAAAAACGCGGCUGACUCGUUUCACGUAGUAACCGGAGGAGCUGGAGUCGACUGACGGUCAGAACGAGGUUUCCUGCUGACAGAGGAGGUUGAACCGGCGACAGCUUUCGGCCCCGGCCGGCGAACAGCAGCACCGCACGGACCACCCGGCGCCGCGGCCGAGGCAACUUCUCAUCCGGUUCGCUCUUCAGGACAUUCCUUCUUCAGGUCCACCGACUCGACCUUCAGCACCGACUAGCCACUAAGACUAUAACGCAUGUGGGUGAGCUUUUGUCCGGCCGUUUUAAAGGGAUCGUUCAACUGUCACUAAUGGGAUUCGAUCCGAAACGUGGUUGUCGUUCAGAAACAGCGAAAAUAGAUUUAAAAAAUCGGACUUGGACGUGUUGUACUCGGAAGUCAUGAACUGAGAAAUGAGAGAUGUCUUUCCUACGGCGGAAGAGCCCAGCAUGACCACUUUGUAGCUGUUCUGACCCUCGUU